UACCGUGAGGUGAUGUCUGAAGGAAGCUGAAGGCAAAACGCUGACCCGACGAACAGAAAUCUCAUUAGGCUAUGAAACGCGGAUGAGGUCGCAACACAGACUAAAGUCCAAUAACUGCACGGAGCGUAAAUAGUAAAUGAGGCGUGGUAUAAGCGGGAAAGAAC
rnacentral:ncRNA from 1 species